ensembl:rRNA 5S_rRNA 5S ribosomal RNA
GUCUAUGGCCAUACCACCCUGAACGCACCUGAUCUCGUCUGAUCUCAGAAGCUAAGCAGGGUCGGGCGUGGUUAGUACUUGGAUGGGAGACCGCCUGGGAAUACGCCUGGGAAUACUGGGUGCUGUAGGCU